GAUGAACGCUGGCGGCGUGCCUAAUACAUGCAAGUCGAGCGAACAGACGAGGCGCUUGCUCCUCUGACGUUAGCGGCGGACGGGUGAGUAACACGUGGAUAACCUACCUAUAAUAGUGAGAUAACUUCGGGAAACCGGAGCUAAUACCGGAUAACAUGCUGAACCGCAUUGUUCAUUAGAGAAAGUCGGUCUUUCUGUCACUUAUAGCUGCAUCCGCGCUGCAUUAGCUAGUUGGUAAGGUCACGGCUUACCAAGGCAACGAUGCGUAGCCGACCGGAGAGGGUGAUCGGCCACACUGGAACUGAGACACGGUCCAGACUACUACGGGAGGGAGCAGUAGGGAAUGUGCCGCAAUGGGCGAAAACCUGACGGAGCAACGCCGCGUGAGUGAAGAAGGUCCACGGAGCGUAAAACUCUGUUAUUAGGGAAGAACAAAUGUGUAAGUAAAUAUGCACGUAUUGACGGUACCUAAUAAGAAAGCCACGGCUAACUACGUG
rnacentral:rRNA from 1 species